rfam:Canis lupus familiaris chromosome X, whole genome shotgun sequence.
AGGAGGAACAGCCCCAGUGGCGGGGCAGCUCUGGAAACCUGGAUUCAGCUCCGACAGGAACUCCGUCUGCAGGGCCUGGAGGCUCCGGGGCGGG